GAAUAAUCAAUCUCUCUCCCAUGUUUUCUAACAGGUGCAGGUGCUGCGCAGACCUUGGAUUUAUUUCAAUGGUGACACUCAGCAGAUCGGUGGCUUUGUCAAGGAAUUCACCCACAUCGCUUUCCUCACAGUGAAGGGUUCAGGUCACAUGGUUCCCACUGACAAACCCAUAGCAGCCUUCACGAUGUUCAGUCGCUUCAUCACCAAACAACCUUACUAGAAGACACUCAGGGAUUUUUACUCUCUUAAAAUCUGGAUUUGCACUGUCACACUGGUAAAAUGUUUCUGAUGUGUGGACCACUGACUGUUUUCUGUCACUCUGCCACUCAAAACUGAUCAUGCAUUUUUAUGUAGUUUAGUUGCCAGCCUGUGAACUAAAGUCAUGCUGACUGUACAUAAUGAUGUUUCAUCGUAUGUGUUUAAGUUUAAGAGGUUCACGAAUGUCGGUGUUCCUCCCUUGAUCUUUGAUUUAUGAUUGAUUUUAAUUGCAGGAGAUGCGGAGUGUUUACGAAUUGAAAUUCAAUCCGAUCAGCUGUGAGUGGAUGCUGACUGUUUAUUGCACAAUUUUAGCGUGUCUUUUCUAUUAAACCUGAAACUGUAGCUUUUAUUGAUCAUC